rnacentral:rRNA from 1 species
CCUACGGGAGGCAGCAGUGGGGAAUAUUGGACAAUGGGCGAAAGCCUGAUCCAGCCAUGCCGCGUGUGUGAAGAAGGCCUUCGGGUUGUAAAGCACUUUCAGUGGGGAAGAAAGCCUUGGGGCUAAUACCCUCGAGGAAGGACAUCACCCACAGAAGAAGCACCGGCUAACUCCGUGCCAGCAGCCGCGGUAAUACGGAGGGUGCGAGCGUUAAUCGGAAUUACUGGGCGUAAAGCGCGCGUAGGCGGUCUGAUAAGCCGGUUGUGAAAGCCCCGGGCUCAACCUGGGAACGGCAUCCGGAACUGUCAGGCUAGGGUGCAGGAGAGGAAGGUAGAAAUCCCGGUGUAGCGGUGAAAUGCGUAGGGAUCGGGAGGAAUACCAGUGGCGAAGGCGGCCUUCUGGACUGACACUGACGCUGAGGUGCGAAAGCGUGGGUAGCAAACAGGAUUAGAUACCCCAGUAGUC